CAGCGCGCUCUCGGCGGGGGCCACGCUGCGCCCGGCUCGGGGCUGCGCGGCCCGGGUCCCGGCCCCUCCCCCAGCUCUCCUUCGGGUCCCAGAACACUUGUCGCCCCGCAAUCCCCUUCUCUCCUGUUUCUCUUCUCCUCGAGGUUGCAUUUUAGACCCCGGGUGCGAAUAUCCACCCAACGCCCUUUCUUUGUCUACUUCUGUCCACGUCCCGGCAGCCCCGUGUGGACCCCUGGUCCCCCUGGUUCCUGGUUAGCGCUCUCUCCACUCUUGUCCUCACGACCUUCUCUUCUUUUGCCCUUUCUCUGUGACUUUUUCUGUACCCAUCUUCCUUCCUGCUCUGUUUGGCCCCUCUUUCCCCUACUUAGUCCCAUUCAACCCGUCAGCCCUCUAAGCCCCUUCCUCCGAGAAUUUUUCUUCUAACCAUUUCCUUGCCCUCUUCCCUCGUCCUUUCUUCAUCUCCCCUGCUCCUCCCCUCCCCCAUCCUCACCCCCCUUUCAGCUCCCCCUCCUCCACCCUCAUCUCCCCUUCUCUUCCCUCCCCUCUUCCAUCCUCAUCUCCAGCCUCCCUCUCCCUUCCCCCACUCCCUGCCUUAAAGCUGCGGGAGAUGAGCGCAGAGGAGUUGAGUCUGGAAGAAAUAAAAAGACUUUGAGAAACGGUCGUCCUGAAGCCUUCGGGAAGGGGACAAAGAGUACAGACCGGGGUAGUUAUUGUUUCAAAAGUGGGAUAUGGCGCUACAAUCUGCUUUCUGUGUGGCGGACGUCCGCAGCUUCCGCGGGGGCAGAAGUUUCUUCAUGUUUAUUCCUUUAAACAAUACUUUUCUGAUACACAAGAAAAGCUGGGAGGAUGGCAAGUGGGAACCAGCAGCAAGCGAGGCUCCGGAUGGAAGCCACCACUGUGGUUUCAGGGGGAGAAAGGCUGUUUCCAGUCAGGGAAAUUGGAACGUUUAUGUGUGUCCCUCUUGCCUUUCAUUAAAGUGAAUAAGUCUGGACUUUUCUGACGUGACGCCACUGCAGUGGGGUUUGUGUUCCAUGCCAGAGAAAGCAAUUGAGCACAGAGGAGUUAAGUCCUACACACAAUGAAGUAGUGCAGUAAAGACAGGAAUGCCUGUGUGGUCCGGCUCUGGAAGAUGACCCUCAUCACAGCUGUCAUUUGGCCUUGCAGUCCACUUCAGAAGACACAUGCAGUGCAUCUUCACAACCUCAUCUGGAAGCUAUUUGUUUUACUCUUAGAAUCUGGAGCGGAGCCAAGCUUAAACCUUGGCCCUCAGUUAUGGAAUGUGAGCGUCCCAAGUGGAAUCUUAACUGCUAUGCACAAUGCCUGCCCCUGAAUUAAUUGUCUUUGUUAUAUUUUAUCCUAAAUUAGUUUUCUGUGUGAUUUGAAUAUCUAAUUCAUUCAUUCUAGCCUAUGCUCUGUGAGUAAUAUACCUAAAAUGCAUCCAUUAUGUUAUCUAGUAUCUAUUGAUUAUUUAUGUGUACACAUGCUUUGGGUUUCAUUUUUAGAAGAUUUUACUUUGUACUGCACAUUCAUUUUUUAUAGUGCCAUUUAUUUACUAAUAUAUCUAUAUAUUUAAAUAUAUUUAAUUUCAAAGGAAAAUCUUUAAAAUAUGCAUGCACUUUUUUUUUGAUAGAUGUCAAACUCCUUAAACUAAAUCUACUUUGAGAGGUCCAAUAGUAAGCAUUUGAAUCUUGGCAGAAGAAAUAGCUGGGGCCAUGAUCUUCAUCAGGGAAGUUCUAUAAGGCAAUGGCUGGCCAGGAAGCAGCUUUUAAAAUCUAUUAGAACAGUGAAGAGACAGCCAUGAAUAAUUUUAAGUGAAUCUCUUGAUUAUCUAUCCUAUAUACUAAAAUCAGGUUAUAUGACUGUAUUUAUAUAAGUUGCCUGGAGACAAAUCAACCUUAAUUCAUUUUUGUUAUUUAUAGGAUAAAGUGCUCUGACUCACCCUUAUUUUCAUUUAUAUAAAUCUGCUAUGGUUUCUGCUUUAUCAGAUGGGGUCAAGGAAGAGAACCAUUUCUCAUUUUCUUGAGCAAAAGUUGACCUUGAAAGGAAACAAUGUAUAUCCUGUAUUAGUCAUGGUGCAAUGGGCUUCUGGAUUUGGAUUACAUAAAGUUAUUAGGAACUGAAUGCCUCAUGAAGAAAACCCUUCCUUAACCACUGUGACUCAUUUAAUAUAAUUUGGUAUGUUUUCUCCUGCCUCCUGAAACUGUACAUGGCCUCUUCCUUAUGUUAUUUUCAAUACAGGUUGGAAAUUUGGUGCACCUUUGGAAGCUCUGAAGAGGGAGGCACUUGUGUGUCUUCUUGCAAAAGGCAUGCUCCUGUCCUGAUCAAGCCAUUGAAGACCCUCCAUUGCCUUGGGGAAAACCUUAUGCUUCUGGUUUGACAUUCUUGUUUGUGUUUCCAUUACCUAGUCCUAGGAAACUCCAACUUAUCCCGAUCCUUCCUGCCUUUUUUUUUUCUUGGUAUAGAUCCCUCUCCCAGUCCAUGAAGCUGGUUGUUUGAAGACUUUUGGUCAGUACCACCUGUUGGUCAUUUAAACAAUGACUCAACCUGUGACUGAAAUUCUAAAUGGAAGACAAAUAUUACAGAUAUUUGAAUAUCCCUUGGUAAUUUACUGAUUGUGACUACCCAAUAUAUUCAAGCACACACAAUGGGCUGCAUAUGUAUCCCACAGUGGUCCUCUAAGGUUAUAAGGGAGCUGAAAAGUUCCUGUAACCUUGUGAUACUAUAACUUCACAAUAAAAUGCAGUAUCCAUGUUUUUGUGGAGCUGCUGAUGUGGACAAACCUUCUGCACUGCCAGUUGUAUUAAAGUAUAGCCCUUACAAUUAUAAACAAUCCAUAAUCCUUGGUCAUGCUAAUAAAUAAUUAUAAAUGGA